UUCCUUUGAGGACAUCCGAUAAAAUUGAAAUGAUACAAACAUGAUUAUCAUGGCCCUGAUGACACACACAAAUCGAGAAUUGGUCCAAAUUUUU
rnacentral:snRNA from 1 species